rnacentral:rRNA from 1 species
GACGAACGCUGGCGGCGUGCUUAACACAUGCAAGUCGAGCGGAGCGGCGAACGGGUGAGUAAGGCGUGAGUAACUGCCCCCCUCUCUGGGAUACCAGUUGGAAACGGCUGCUAAUACCGGAUAGUGGGGGAUGACUCGGGUCCUAUGUGCUUGUUGGUGGGGGAGGGGCCUACCAAGGCGACGACGGGUCGCCGGCCUGGGAGGGCGACCGGCCCCAUUGGGCUGAGAGACGGCCCAAAAGCGUACGGGGGGCAGUAGUGGGGAGUAUUGCACAAUGGGGGAAACCCUGAUGCAGCAACGCGCGUGCGGGAUGACGGGCUUCGGGUUGUAAACCGCUUUCAGCCAUGACGCGGUAGUGGCAGAAGAAGCACCGGCUAACUACGUGCCAGCAGCCGCGGUAAUUC